AAUCAACGCUGGCGGCGUGCCUCAGACAUGCAAGUCGAACGAUUAAACUUUCCUUCGGGAAAGAUAUAAAGUGGCGCACGGGUGAGUAACACGUAAGUAAUCUACCUUCGAGUGGGGAAUAACGUUCGGAAACGAACGCUAAUACCGCAUAAUGCAGCGGCACCUAAUGGUGACAGUUGUUAAAGGAGCAAUUCGCUUGAAGAGGAGCUUGCGGCAGAUUAGCUAGUUGGUAAGGAACGGCUUACCAAGGCUACGAUCUGUAACCGGUCUAAGAGGACGGUCGGUCACACUGACACUGAAUAACGGGUCAGACUCCUACGGGAGGCAGCAGUCGGGAAUAUUGGGCAAUGGGCGCAAGCCUGACCCAGCCACGCCGCGUGAGUGAUGAAGG
rnacentral:rRNA from 1 species